rnacentral:rRNA from 1 species
UACGGAGGGGGCUAGCGUUGUUCGGAAUUACUGGGCGUAAAGCGCGUGUAGGCGGACCACCAAGUCGGACGUGAAAGCCCUGAGCUCAACUCAGGAACUGCAUCCGAAACUGGCGGUCUGGAGUAGUGGAGAGGAAAGCAGAAUUCCUGGUGUAGAGGUGAAAUUCGUAGAUAUCUGGAGGAACACCGGUGGCGAAGGCGGCAUCCUGGACCGGCAUUGACGCUGAGGCGCGAAAGCCAGGGGAGCAAAC